GGCCGCUCGGCGCUCCCCGCUCCCUCCGCUCGGGGCGGAGAAUCCGGCUCAGGGAGACGCUCCCCUCGGCCCCCCGGGGCUUGGCGGCUCGUGAUGGAUGGUGAAUCACAGGAACACAUCACCAGCAAACAAACUGCAGUAACCUCUCAGUAGCUGCAUUUCACAACGUGAGUGGGAAAAGUGUUCCCAAAGUCAGGAGAAGCAAGCCACUAAUUUCCUACUGGCAAGUACAUGUCUUUCCUCAGCUCCUCACGACUUCAGAGCUGAGCUAUGCCAAGUCUGCUGUCCCAAGCCAAGUAUAACUGUGCUGACUGCUGAUGGACAUGGAAUAUAAUGAGUGCUUAUGGAAUGACUGGUCCAGGAUGAUUCCCAAGACAGUUGUUUGCAGAACCACUCUGUUCAGGGUAAGAAUUGCCUGCCUGGUGAAGUCCAGGGUGUUCCAGGGAUGCUAAGCAGCAAUGCCACGGGCCAUCUAGUGGACAUUACACGUUGCAGACAUCCCAGGGGAGUUACAUUUGUCCUCAGCUCCACAA